rnacentral:tRNA from 1 species
GGAGAGGUGGCCGAGCGGUCUAAGGCGGCGGCUUGCUAAGCCGUUGGGGAGGGUAAAACCUCCCCCGUGGGUUCAAAUCCCACCCUCUCCG